UGGCAUUCUUGGGUCAUUCUUAUUUUUAUGGAAUACCAGACCCUUCUUUGUCUUGGAACAUUUAUAAGCCUUAUUGCAGUUAUGAUGCUAGGAAUGAAUUCAUUGGUGGGAAGGCUUUACCUUAAUUAGUGACCUUGAACUGCAGAACGCAUUAGAGAACGGAAGAAAGGCUUAUGUGUCUGAAAUGCUUCACAGCUGUCAUUUUCUUUAGGGUAAAUUAAUGAGUAUGGCAACUAAGACACCUGGGUUAUAGUUCCUGCUCUGUAUCCAGCAAGCAGAAUGACAUUGAUCCAAGCCCACAUGGGACCUCAGCGCCUUCAUCUCGAACAUUAAAGAUUUGCA